UACGUAGGGUGCAAGCGUUGUCCGGAAUUAUUGGGCGUAAAGAGCUCGUAGGCGGUUUGUUGCGUCGGCUGUGAAAUCCCGAGGCUCAACCUCGGGUCUGCAGUCGAUACGAGCAAACUAGAGUGUUGCAGGGGAGACUGGAAUUCCUGGUGUAGCGGUGAAAUGCGUAGAUAUCGAGAGGAACACCUGCGGCGAAGGCGGGUUGCUGGGCUGAUACUGACGCUGAGGCGCGAAAGCCAGGGGAGCGAACGGG
rnacentral:rRNA from 1 species